CACGGAGAACAGUCGGGAACGGGGAGCGGCCCCCUGGGAUGCGCUUGGAUGCCGACAGUGCGUUCUGCGGGGCGGCAAACCUCGGCUGUCCCGGUCCCCGCUGCCCCUGCUGCAGUCUGAGGCGUGCAAGUGCCUCUGUGUGUGCAAGUAACAUCUCACGGGUUCUCUAAAACAUUAAAGCAACCUCCUCCCCAGCCUUUCCUUCAACUCCGUCCCUAGCCCUUCCCUCUCUCCUGCACCAGAAAAAGUACAUUGCUUCACUCUUUCCCAAAAGGGCAUGUAGCCCAAACCCCAAAUAUCUGUAUUCGUGUUGUCCCCAAAGUGAAGGCUGUUGAGCAGAGCUGACUGCAGGUCUGCACCGUCUACAGCUGUGGCCUGCCAAGGCAGGUGGCCAGACCACCUCAGCAUCGAGCUCCUCCAUUCCUUCAUUACUUUAUUGUGAUCAACUCAACCGUGCUAUAAGCAUGCUUGUCCUGUGAUGAUAAUUUCAUCAAGGGCUUAUGUAAGGGUUGGAUAACAGAUAUAUACAAACAGAGGAACAUAUGGUUGUCGCAAGAUAGCAGCACGUGCUUUCUUCAUAAAGCAUUACAAUGGCUUGUAUGGCAUUCCAGUUAUAGCUGGUGGAUGAUUCACAAGCCAUCCCAAACUGUCACAAAAUAUUGUGAUGUCUCCUACAAUUUUAUCAAAACCUUGCUAAUUUGAUGAUUGAAAAAAAAAGAUUGAUCAGAAAGGAUAACCCGAUCCCAUUGUUAGAGGAAGAUUUGGACUCAGGUAUGUGUUUCUCUCAAAAGUGAUAUUUUGAACAGUCAAAGAUCUUAGAAUCACACUCUGACUUGGAUUUACUUCUAAACCUUUGGCCUUUACUAACACUGAGUACCAUAACCCCCAAAUUUAGGCACCAAGUCUCUGGGGUGUGAUACUUUUUUGGUAAGGGACACUGCAUGGGCAGCAUCCUGAGCAGGAGCAAUGAGAAUGAGAAAUGGAAGGGAAAUGAUGGAAGAAAGAGAUGUUUUCCACAUCACACCUUCUUAGAGAGGUAGGUGAGUGCUAUUUUGAGGUGGACAUUCUCAUUUCAGCCUGUUCUCUUAAAGUUUACACUGCUUUUUUCUUUCUUACCAGAGGGUACUUCUGUGCCUGUCCCUGUGGCUGGUCAAGGAAGGAUCAUUUGGAUGGAAAGUGGGUAGGCCAGAGUGCUAAACUCUCCUCCCCAGAGAAAAGCCUAACUGACAUGUCUCAUCUAUUGGAAGGAUGCUCUGUACCCCUGUGGUUGCAAAGUGGUUCCUUCAAACUUCUGUUUUGGAGAGCUGCAUGAAGAAGAAAGCACAGCCACUGGAUGCAGGACAUGGCAACACUUUGUCCUGACCUGGAGCACGGGAGCUUCAUCAGGAGCGACUGCCAGAGGAACAUAAACCUUGCCCUCUCAUUCUUCCUGACCAGCGCCAAUGGAGCUGUUUUUCCAGUGAAUUUUCAGCUAGGAUAUUAAAAUAAACUUCUCCCCAAAAGCUUCUGCCUUGAAGCAGCCACCCCGUGUUUGCCUUUGUGCUAUUACUCUCAGUGAUGUUCACUAUGGCUCUCCUCUCCAAGGCUAUCCCCUGUGCGGCUGAAAUGAACCCCUCUGCAACCUUAGAGAGCACUAAUAUGUCACUUCAGUCACACUGUGACACUGUUUGAAGGACUUAGAGGCAUCCUGCCUUUGUGACUGAAUGCCACCCAUCAGGUAUAUCAUAAGCCAAACUGGAUGUUCUGCUGUGCCUCGCAAAUAAUUUGUAAUUAAGUCACUAGGCAAGAGGGUUGGGUUUUGUCUUUGUUUUGCUUUGUUUGUGCUUUAAUCAUCAUUAUUUGUACCCAAAUUCUAAAGUCCAUGGUUAGGGUACCUAUGGUCAAAUUUCCUUUAACUCUUGCUGAGGGGAGAAAAUUGAGCCAUGGUCUUAUGAUCUGAAUAUAAGCAAACAGUCUGUUGUGACAAACUCACAGGGGGAUUAAAAAUAUGGUGAUUCAAGGCAACAGUAUCCUCAACCUGAGAUCAUCAUUUUCACAAAGGCAGGGGGUAAGAGCUGCUUGUUCAUCAGAGGAUUAUAUCUUCCUGCUGUUACUGCUGUGACCCUAAAUAAAACCUCUAAUGCCAGCACAGCAGCAUGGCUGGAGAACACAGUAGUGGCAGGAAUAAGUCCCUCCCUUCUGCUUUGAGUAAGAUUCUGUGGACAGUGUUGUCUUUCUGGAGCAUGAGCUGAAUUAUUUUUCCUCUUAGUCCCAGAACUUGGAGAUUCAAAUAAUCUCCCUCCUAUCACAGAUCCCUUUCUAAAAUAGUGAGGUGUUCCUGUCCUGCUGAAAAUGUAAUUGAAAGGCAUAUACUAAUGUAGUGUUUAAUUCCAAGACUUGCCUGUAUUUUGAUUAAAAACCUCCUGGAUUCUAAAGCUUAGGUUGUACUAGAUAUAAAAACACAAGUUCAUCCAAGAGCACAACAUGAAUGAAUGCGAGCAUUAAAUUCUGCUGACCAUUCACUUGAAAUUUUUUCUGCCGCAUGUGAUUCCAGGACAAAUAUUGAUUGAAUAACCUCUGUGUGUAUGCGUGUGUGAAGUGUGGUCUAGCACCCAGAGUGACCUUUCUCUUCCAUGUCUAAUCACCAGCGAUAGCUGUAAGCUUCCUUUUGUAUCAAAAAUCUUGUUUCAUAACCCAGCUUCCCUGCUCUUUGGAACCUGAGUUUCUCCGUUUGUUUGUUCAGCCAUUUGAGGUCUGCUGGGAUAUUUCUCUGUUUGAUUUGCUUGUUAGCUUUGUUGCUGGCUGAAAUGGCCCGGGCAUGGUUUGUUCAAGGCUUUUGUUUUCUUUUCUGGAAAGGUUGGUGGAGGGUUUUGUUCUCCACAAGUCAGGCAGCAUUGCUGCACGUGAGGUUUGCCUCGCUGCCCGCCCACCCGCGCAGGUGGCACCGUGUCUGUGCACAGGCGUGGGCUCGAGCAUCCCCCUGGCCUCGCAGGGGCUCAUCCAAUGCCUCUGCCUUUUCAGUUAUAAAAGCACUGGCUGAUGUUUUGACAUGCUGAUUUUCUUUGCCUCUCUCUUUCCCAGUCUGUCCUCACAGAGGGGCUGAGCCCCUGGGGCAGAUGGAGGGAGAAGCGAGGUCAGGGCUGGUGUUUGUUGGGACUGGCUUAAUCAAAGCAAGGGAAAUACAGGGUGCAGCAGAAAAAAGGAGUUUGAGUGAGAUAGCUGCUUGUUCUCUCUCUGUUCCCCCUCUCUCUGUGUAUCUCUCUUAGAGAUGUUCCUUAUUACAGGGAAAGGAGACAAGUAUGCUAAUUGUCCCUACAGUCACUUUCCACAUUCACAGAGUGCUGUGUAUAAGGUCUUUAUAGAACACAUAUCUCCUCUGAAGGUUUUGUAGGGGAUACCUGGGGAAGAACUGCAGCUCCCCCCUCAUGCUUCUCCAUACCCAGCCUUCAGGACAUGAGUUAUGGCAGCAACUGGAACCUGGAUUUAGUUGUCUUCCAUUUGUGCCAUCAUCAAAACUACAAUAGUUCAGGCUCCAGUUCCCACCAGGGAUGCAUGCAUUUGUGUGCACACAUUGCUCCCUUCCAGCCUAAGAAACAAUAUUAUUUAUUCUCAUGUCAACUAAAAGUACUCAUGUUGGUUUCUCCCAACAUUGUGAUUCUUUCUUCUCUACAUAAAUAUACAUAAAUAAACAUGCACUAAAUAUAUAUUGAUAAAUAUAUACAUCUAUAUAUACACACACACAUACACACAUAUAUAUAUAUUCCUUCCCUCCCAUUUCUGUCUUUUCUCACAGUCUGAGAAGUCCCAGUGAGAGGACAGUAACUUUCCAUCACAAAUGCUUUUCCUGUGACUGUUUUUGUUUUCUAAGCCUGUCACAUGAAAAUAGACAUAAUAUUUUCAUUUUGGUUGUCUGUAAAUAAAGAGAAAUUUGACUUCCAGAAUGUGUUCCUAGAGCAAAUCAAGUUGUUCUAAGAUUAAUCCUUUUCUAAAUAAUACUUACAAUUUAUGUGCAGAUAACUCCCUAAUUUAAAAGUACUGUGAUGAUGAACUGAAAUCUCUGUUACACUGUGGUUAAUUACAACAGUUUCAGUUUUGGUUGGUAUUUGCUCCAUUAGUUAUUCAUACUGCAAACAAAUAUGCUAACAGCUUUUUGUCAUAUUCUCUUAGAGAUGUGAUUAAAACCAAAUUUUAGCCUUCA